GAUGGUGCUUAUAAAGCAGAUGUGGGAGCUGGUGCUGUGGUAUAACAGGUAAAGCCACUGCAUCCCAGAUCCGGCUCCCUGCUAAUGUCCCUGGGAAAGCAGUGGAAGACAGGCCAAGUCCUUGGGCCACUGUACCCAUGUGGGAGAACCUGAAGAAGCUCCUGGCUCCUGGCUUUGGAUCAGUCCAGCUCUGCUGGAGUCAUUUGCAAGCCCAGGAACACAUCUCGCUGUGAUAGAAAACGAAAUGCUGCCCUCUGUCGGGAAGACGAUGGAACUGUUCUGAACCCCCUAGAGUGGUCAGAUCUUGGUUUGGAGAAUCAAGGAUAGCCAGAAAAGUGAGCUUUCAUACCUGCAGUCUUGCCAGGAAAGAAACUCCCAUAGGGCAAACCUUCGCCACAGAGAAAGUGAGGCAGAGAAGGGAAGACAAGCAAUCAACGAUGCAUCAAAGCGGACGCCGCAGGAGGCAGCUGGAAAUAUACCCUUUGAGGAAUUCUGAGACAAGGCAUCUCAGAUCAGCUCUUCUACCGCACCGGGGAGCUGGAUGUUUAUGCACCAGCUCCCAUCGGUCACUGGUUUCAGGUUGCUCUGCACCAACUCCUCUGCACUGCUAGCUUCAAUGGCCAGAGGAAGGCCUCAGCAAACGCGUGGUCUUGGCAGUUGGAGGUCGAGCCUUUGCUAUGCAGGCCCAGGUACAUGUGCUCAGCCUCUGACCUGUCUGCUAUACUGACUCUCCUUCAUCCCUUCUAGUCUCUUUGGACUAUUUGAUUUGCACACAUAUGUUACAUGAUUGGAAUUUAAGAUAUUCUUUCUGUUUAUCCAAGGCCUACAGUGGCUGCCAAACCAAAAGUUCAGUGAUCCUAGGAAACAAAUGGCCCUGAAAGUCUUUCUACUUUGCAAAUCUUUUAGGGUGGACAUCUUCAUCUGCCAGUGAGAUCUCAGCAGUGCUCUGGCUCGGAGAGCUGAUGUGUCUCAAAUGUUGCAGCUUAGCAAGGCUUCCAUCAACAAUGCCAAUCACAACAGAACUUGACCUAAUGGGACUCGAACAUAUCCUUAGUUCUUCACAGGGUCAGAGCUCUGCAACAGGGGUUUCCAAAAUGAGUCCCAAUGAUGAGCGAUCAGUCUGCAAGGAUUCCCCUCAGCUCAGAGUUCAGACAUCAGCUAAGGUUGAUAAGCUGUCUCGGUAUAGCAUUUCCCUAAAGAUCACAAUACCAACUAAGACACAACAGCACUUCAAGUCUGUGGAAAAUGCAACUUAAAGAGAAGUUUAUUUUGGUGCACUGCAUUUUCAUAAUAUAUAUCUUUCAUGAACUUUUUGAAGUAGCUUCAUUUAAAAAAAAUCUAGUUAUUUGAAAGGCAGAGGGGUGGGGAUGAGGAGAGACACAGAGGGAGAGACAGACAGAGAGAGAGCAAGCAAGUGCACCCAUUUGCUUGUUCAUUCCUCAUUGGCUGCAACAGCUAGGGCUGGUCCAGGCCAAAACCAGGAGCCUGUACAUCCAUCUAGGUCUCCUACAUGGGUGGCAGGGGCCCAUCUUCCACUACCCGAGCAGGUAUAUUAGUAGGAACCUAGAUCAGAAGUGGAGCAGCCAGGACCCACAUCAGUCCUCAAUAUGGGAUGCCAGUGUUGCAGGUGGUGAUUUAACCUGCUGUACCACAACACUGGCCCUCAUAUGAAAAGCUCUGUAACCUGUAAGAGGGAAGGUCUUGUCAUCACAUGUAAGGGUGGGUCCAAGUCCACGCAGACACAUAUGCCAACAUAGGCUAUGUGUUAUAGUACUAAGGCUUACGCUCCGCCUGGGGCAGAGAUCUUAGUAGUAAAAUGAAGCAAAGGGUGACCUUUGCCUACUUUCUGACCAAUGUGCCCCCUUGCUGUUCUUGCAGUAGGGUCUGGAGGCAACCAGGGCAGCUGGAGAUUCCAUCUCUCUAAAAUGUGACUGAAGAUCCAAGAAAAAAAUGUUGUAGAACAUCAGACCCUUUUAAGGUCUUGAAACAGAAGUCACAAUGAAGGCUUUUGAGCUACUAAGAAUGGAAAGACUGGAAAGAUACAAACAAGCCAAAAGGGAAGAAAAGGCACUGAUGUGUGUCAAGGAAGACAAUCAAAAUGAGGCAGGAUCAGCUCAGGGCACUGGAGAUGGAGUUGGGAGGCCACUGGCGAGCGAGCUUUCCGGCACGUGUACAGUGGCACCUUUGACCUGGGCUUCCUGCACAAAAGCACGUAUGCCCCAGAUUCGUGCUGACCUCUGCACUGGGUCAAACUGCCAUCCACUCACUUUCGUUAACCAUUUGUAACCCCUCCCCUUGCUUCUCUUAAAGGACCUAAGGGUUGAACUCCCAACCUUUUUUUUUCCCUUUCUUUGUAGUAAGAAAGAAUAUUUUAUUAGGAGAAAUAAAAUUUUAAAAUAUGAAAGCAGAGCCCUAGUCACUUUUCUUCACACUGACUUGGAACUUCACCUUCUAAUACUUACACCUAGUUCAACCUUAGAUUAGCUGAUGGAAAACAAAACCAUUUUCUUUUCUUUAGGAUCCAUUUAUUUAUUUGAAAGGCAGAGAGAGAGAGAGAGAGAGAGAGAGAGAGUGAGUUCUUCCACCUGCUGGUUCACCCCACCCCCUCAAAUGCCUGCAACAGUCAGGUGUGGGCCAAGCUAACAGAGUUAACAGGAACCCAAGCACUUGAGCCAUCACCUGCUGUCUUCCAUUAGCAGGAAUGCUAGCCUGGAAGCAGAGGGACUUGAACUGGCAUCUCCUUAUGGGAUACUGGCAUCUCAAGCAGGGGCUUAACCCACUGUUCUGCAAUGCCCACGCACCCAAUCAUUUUCUUAAAGUCAUCUUGCCACUGGAUGGCACCCAUCACAAUUCCUGACAAGCCAGUGACGUGACCACCAUUCCCUUGCUAAUUUAAGCUAUAGCUGUGGCCACCAUUGUGCAAAACCUUGAAACAUUUUUUCAUGGUGGUUUGACUCGGUGGUUUCCCAACUGCAGUACUAAUUAGUCUCUGCCCAAGGUGAUUUGGUUCUCCCUCAACAGGGACAAUUCCUAUGGACAUUUUGGGUACUGGACAUGUGUGUUUGUGUCUCUGUUAUAGCCUUCCUUCAUGAAAAGGAGGUUUUUGUUGUAACAGGGAUCAAUCUCUGUCCUGGAACUAUGUUCAUUUUCAUGACUUCUGAUUCUAAGUAGCAGACUCAUAAAAUAAAGCACCUAUCUCAGCCAGCAGAGACCAAAGAAUCAUUCUGAAUGAUUUCCAAAACCCCGGGUAGAGGAAAAUUCCUUCACAUAUGCUGUACCUCUUACGGCAAACCAAGAGAGCAAACAAACGGGUAGGAAGAGGAAAAGAUAAUGCAGGAUGAUUUCUCAACUGUUAAAAUAUUUAGUAAAAAAGCAGGAUACUGGAAUAUUCCCAAGACUUAGGAAGGCUGUCUGUGGAAGAUGAGUCCAAAGCUGACUUACUUUCCCUUUUGCUGUUGUGAAAAUGAAGCAUACAGGUUAAGUCCAAGAGUACUUCAAAAAUUUGUGGAAAUAUUGUGAUUAUGUUGAUUAUGUUGCAAGGAUCAAGAGCCCCAGACAGGCUCAGAGAGACCCUCUGCUGGACUUAGCCCAGGUUCUUGUCUUCCCGUGUACAGGAAGACAACUGGGAGAUGUAGACAGAGGUAAGCAGAAAAGCAGGAUUUACUGAGCCACAAAGGACAGUACAUACUCAGAUGUGAGUGUGGGCAACGUCAUGAGAGACCACGGCCCCCUAACCAGGCAGGGGGUGACGCUCAGGGCAAGGCCUGAUUGAAUGUUCAAAGCAGGCAGAGUUUGGGGUAGGGCUUUAGCACACGUGGUGGUCUCUAGGAAGCUGUCAUGGUGUCUGGUAGCUGACAGAAAGUGGGGCUUAGCUGCAUGACGGGAGUGAGUGUGCUGAGUCUUCAGCCAUGUUGAAUCAGCCCAGAAGGCGAUGGGAUUUGAGGGUGCACAUGGCUUGGGUGUUGACAGUCCUUAGCUCCUGGUCUCUCACUAUCUGCCUACCCACUUCUGAAGAUGGCACUGAAAGAUAAGUUUAUUUUAGUGCAAGAAGAUUUUGAAACCCAGGCAUAGUUUACUGUAAUAUGUAAUUCCAUGGGCUUUUUGAAAAUCCCUCUAUGCAUGUAUUUCAAAAAUUUUUUAACAAAAUAAAUUUGUCUUUUAAUUCCAUCUUCUAUGAAUGUUUUGAAGCCCCCUUGUAUGUUUUAAAAGCAUGGGCAAAGCCAGUGACAGUGGUAUUAAAGCAGAGUGGGGGGGGCUUGCCUGGGAGGUGACACAGCCCCUGGGACCAGGGACCCCUCACGACUCUCCCACCCAAGGGCUUGUGCAGGGCGGCAAGGCUUCGUGCCCUCCAAACGUGGCUAGGCACAGGCGGGGUGGCUCCAAGUGCAGUGGGAGGUGCAGCUGCUUGUCAUAACCUCAGAGCAGCCCUAGGAGGAAGCACCAACACCACCCCUUUACACAAAAUCUCCCGGAGCACGAGCACCCCUCUUCCCAGAGGGCUGGCCCUGGCUCUUCCUUCAGCCUGGGGCUCACCUUUCAGGUCUGCCCAGAGAGGGUCUGGGGGAACUCAAGAGCACAUGGUAGGGGCCAGAGCUGUGGCAUGUGGGUAAAGCCACCACCUGGGGUGCCAGCAUCCCACAUGGGCGUGGGUUUGAGUCCCAGCUGCUCCACUUCCAAUGCAGCUCUCUGCUAUGGCCUGGGAAAGCAGGGGACGAUGGCCCAAGUCCUUGUGCCUCUGCGCUCUCAUGGAGACCGGAAGAAGCUCCUGACUUCAGAUCGGCGCAGCUCCAGCCAUUGCAGCCAAUUGGGGAGUGAACCAGCAGAUAAAAGACCUCCCUCCCUCCCUCUCUCGCUCACUCUUUCUGUCUCUCACUCUGCCUCUCCUUCUGUGUUACUCAAAUAAACAAAUAAAUCUUAAAAAAAAAAAAAGAGCACAUGGUAGAGCCAGUGCCUGCCUGCCUGCCUGCCUGCCUGUCAACCCUACACACUCAAGUUUUGUGCUCUCAGAGGGUUUACAGAUAGCGAUGGUUGGAGGGGAAAAACAAAAAAUUCUACCCUAAGGUGGACCCAUGAAAUCAUGAGCAAGCUGAAGCCAACAGGAGAACAAUCGAGAUUUAAUCCAAAUCUCUUUCUGUUUAAGAUAAUGCCUUGGUUGAAAACGUGGAGGACAAAUCCAAAUGUGCAGCAUCAAAGAUGACCAAUGAGUACCCACCAGAUGUCAUGCUGUCCUGCCACAGCAGGGUGAUAUAACCCUUCAUUUCUUCUGUGUCACAUCUUCACAUUGUUCUCCCCAACCCUCCAUAUAACACAGCAGCCCAUGUCACCUGCAAACCCCUGGUCUCUGUUUAUCUUUAGCAUCUCUUACUCUCUGGUGUCCAUCAUCUUCCUCUCUCUGUUCCCUCCGAGCAGCAGGUGUGUGCGUCAGCUUGUUCACUUGGAUUCUCCGGCAUCCAGAGAACUGUCUGGCACCAGUAGAUUCUCUGUAAUAUCUGCUGGUUGAAUGUCUACACCUGUUAUUACGGUAACUUGUGUGUGUAUUAGAGCUUUAGGAGUUCAGGUAAGUGUUGUUCAGGGUGAUUUGGGCAGUUUGACCUAAGUUAGAGUCCUAACUCCUGCCCCAGUCCUUGCAGUCGCAGCUAUUAUUAUGACAGUCAGAGGUUUCUAAGAGCCAAGAGUCCUCCACAGGCCAGCUGUCAGGCAGCAGAGCAUGAGCUGGGGACUGGGCUCUGGCUGCUUUCUCCUCUGUGUGACCUCCAGAUGCCCCUUUCCCCUCUCUGCCCAUCAACUUCUUCAAUUUGACAAGGAGGUGAGGUGGGGUAGGGUAGCCUUGUACUGCCAGAUAAGCAUCAGCAGGAAAGUGAACACUGACCUUGAUAAUCAACAAGAAGAGAGAGGGGCCAAGCAUAGGAGCCUCCAUGGAGACUUCUGCACCUGUCUCACUGGCUGGAAGGCGGUCACAUGAUGACAUCUGUGUGCCAGGGAGGCUGGGAAACAGGGUUUGGCUGUGAACCCAAGAAGAGGAGGACAGAAGGCUUAUCAAGGACUGAGUAGGCUUUGUCCCACCCCAAAUGUCACAGCUGUCAUCUAUCUAGGAAACAAGAAGCCGAUCUCGUAGGUUUGGCCUGGGCCUCACCCCUCUUCCUGCCCCAGCCCCACUCCUGCAGGCACCACUGCUCUGCUCCCGACACUCAUGGGCCAGUCCCUGGAUCCCUGCUGUAUACCAACCGAGGAGACCCACCUUGCAGGAGCAGGCAGAGGCAGAGAGCGAGAGAGAUCGUCUUCCCUGUGCUGAUUCACUCCCCAGGUGGCUGCAGCAGCCAGGGCUUGGCCGGGCUGAAAUCUGGAACCAGGAGCUCCAUCCUGGUCUCCCACAUCAUGUCAAGGACCUGGGUACAUGGGCCAUCAUCCGCUGCCUCCCUAGACACAUUGGUGUGAAGCUAGAUUGGAAGUAGACCCACUGGGACCUGAACUGGCACUUCAACAUGGGAUGCCAGCACCAUAAGCAGUGACUUAACCUGCUGUAUCACAACAUCAGCCCCUGUUUAAAAAAUAAAAUAAAAUAAAAAAACAAUGCAUGUGACUUCCCCACUGCAUAAUAAAAUCCU